rnacentral:rRNA from 1 species
ACGAACGCUGGCGGCGUGCUUCACCCAUGCAAGUCGCACGGAAAGGCCCUGCUUUUGUGGGGUGCUCGAGUGGCGAACGGGUGAGUAACACGUGAGUAACCUGCCCUUGACUUUGGGAUAACUUCAGGAAACUGGGGCUAAUACCGGAUAGGAGCUCCUGCUGCAUGGUGGGGGUUGGAAAGUUUCGGCGGUUGGGGAUGGACUCGCGGCUUAUCAGCUUGUUGGUGGGGUAGUGGCUUACCAAGGCUUUGACGGGUAGCCGGCCUGAGAGGGUGACCGGCCACAUUGGGACUGAGAUACGGCCCAGACUCCUACGGGAGGCAGCAGUGGGGAAUAUUGCACAAUGGGCGGAAGCCUGAUGCAGCAACGCCGCGUGCGGGAUGACGGCCUUCGGGUUGUAAACCGCUUUCGCCUGUGACGAAGCGUGAGUGACGGUAAUGGGUAAAGAAGCACCGGCUAACUACGUG